CUCCUUACCUCCUUCCCAGAGCCCCAGGUGCUGCAGGCAGAGACAUGCUGGGGUCUGUCACCCUCCUUCUUGCCGCCCUGCUCCCUGCUGGCCAGAGAGCACUAACCAUGGACCAGCCAAUGGUCUCCAUCACCAAACAGGCCGGGGCAUUGGCAUCAUUUCUCUGUGAGCUGUCCAACAAAAGCAUCACUUACGUCCACUGGUAUCGCCAGCAGCCUGCAAGGUCUCCCCAGCGCCUGCUCUAUUGUAACAUGGCCACGUCUCAACCCACGCUGGAUGCAGGAUUCAGCUCAGAUAAAUUCUACACAUACAAGAGCAAAGAUCAUAGCUGUUACCUGAGGAUAUGGAAACUGGACAAGAGUGAUGUUGGCACCUAUUACUGUGCCAGCUGGGACUCCACAGUCAUCCUGCUUCUCACUGCAGUGCAGACAAGAUCAUGUCAUUUCUCUCAGAAUUGCGGAAGAAGCCUGCAGUGGCUGGCCAACAAGCAUGUAGGGAACGUGUAA